rnacentral:lncRNA from 1 species
GAAAAAAUGAUAUAUUUGCUCGCUUGAAUUAUAAAGCUAAACAAUGGAUGAAACAAAAUGUACAUGUAUGUAGUCAAAUGAUUGAACAACGAAGGCACACAUGACUGUUUUAUGCGUGUAUGGGUGCCAGCAGCCCCAUUUGAGCUACCCGCAGGGAAUUGUCCCGUCGGAUACUUGUCUAUUAAUGGGACCAGCAACAAUACUAUGCAGCAAGAACCACCGGAUCAUCUUAGAUCCUUGCCAUCAAAGGAAAAUCGCCCAGCACUUGGAACAGGUGGGCUCUGACCAAAUCUGAAAAUAAGUUUGCCAUCCAGGACAUAUAUGGUAUCACAAUUGUCGACUAUAAUAUGUAACAAAUAGAAGCCAUCAGAAUCACAUUCCCAUGCUCUCUAAAUAAGUACGCAUACUAACAGAAGGUGCAUAUGAGAAAUCAGUGCAAAAAUAAGCUUGUGCUCUCUAAAUAAUUAUGGAGACUAAUAGAAUGUGCAUCUGAUAACUCUAGCAAAAAUAAAAUUCAGAUAUGGGAGCUUCUGUGCCAAUGCGAGCAGCAAGACUCUUACGCAUCAUCGGGAAACUACUUUUGCCAGGCCGGACGUCUAGCUUCUUUGCAGCAGGAGCGGAACCUAGCAAAAAAGAGGAGAUUAAUUCGCAAAAAAGGGAAAAAAUAAAGAAGCCGAUGUGUAUCCUGCAGAUAACUAAUUUGGCAGCAUAUGUAUAGUGCAGAGAAAUAAACACAAAUAAUGUAUGGAUAGUGCACAAACUGAUGAUUUUCUUCUUCUAAACAACAAGCAUUUCUACCUAUUUAUUAUUUAUAGGCAUAAGACGUUAAGUUUAUUUUUAAUUUAUUCAAAGAACAGAGGUUGAUUAGGACAAUUUGAUUGUCAUGCUUGGACUCGAGGAGCAUAUGAAAAUAAACCUAAAUUCAAACGCAAAGAGGUGCUUGUCGAAUCAAAUUUUAGGUGCGUAGCUAAUCAUAUUCUGAAUAUUUUGCUUUUUGAAUAACAGUGAUAAUUCUUACUACCAAUUGCAUAUACCAAUAAUUUUGUAGCGCAGGUUGAGAGUGAAUGACAUGGUUAUGACCCUGCAUCACGUGUUGAGAUGUCAGUCAAGACUCAAGACUCAGGAGUCAUGUUCUCAAGCAUUUUUUACUAAAGCUGAAAAAUAUAGAGGUACUAAUUCUAGGUAUGGGAGAGUCAUGUUCUUCAGCAAGGCUAUAUUUUUACUUCCGAACGUUUCCAUUCGUUAGGAUCUAUCCUCCCAAUAUUGUUCAAGUCUGCCUCCUUGAAUGUCUGUUGGAAUGUAAUUUUAGCAUAAACAUAUGGAUAGCUUUAAUGCUUCUUGCGCAGCAACAUUUGAUCUGGAUGUGUACCUGAUCCACAAUCCGUUUAACAGCAUUAUCAGAAAGAUGUAGGCCUGAUUCAUUCAAGAUUGACAUACCCGGACUAUCAAACUGUAAAGGUAGUGUGGGUGCUAUACUUAGCGGAUAUAAUGGGUUUUGUGUUAUUGUUUUAGUAAACCAAAGAGUAGUACUGACAGAGCUGAAGGAUAAGCAUCUAAAUCGACAAAUUGCAGUGUAUGGCGGCAUGCUCAAAACAUCGUGAAGUAGUCUAUUAAGUUGUCAGGAUUAUGUGCAGAAUAAUUCAGUAAAUAAAAGAUACAUACCUCUUCAUAUUCAUCGAUGCUACUUGUGCCUCGUAGAACCCAUGGUCUGAAUGCAACUGUGAGAAGGAAUACUUGCAGUGUCACACUGAAAAAACAGAGGUAGAAUUAUGUGCAGAAUAAUUCAGUAAAUAAAAGAUACAUACCUCUUCAUAUUCGAGGCUGCUACUUGCACCUCGCAGAACCCAUCUUCUGAACUCUGAAUGCAACUGCGAGAAGUUACACAUGCAGUCACACACUGAAAAAAACAAAGAUAUGAAUCAAAGAAAG